UCAAAACAAAUAGCAUAUAAAGGUAUACAAAUAAGACAUUAAAAGGCUCAUAUAAAACCCCAUAAGCCAAUAACAACAAUUAGUCUAGCAUGACUAACAAAUACUGGUUUGUUCUUAAUAUUAAAGCUGAUCGCGAAUAGAUUAGUUAAACACAUAAAGCUGGAUAGAAAAUCUGCUUCGAGCUCCCCGGGAACGUUAUCAGGAGUUGUUGUAUUUAAAAGGUCAGGGGAGUUUUAAAAGGCAGCAGAGGAAAUAAGAGAUUUGAAAAGCAGCAGACAGUUUAAGUAAAAUGUGCAGAAAAGUUUCAGAAAGACAGGCAGUUUUGAGAGAAAAACGAGUUGCACGACUGUUUUGAAAACAUUGAGGCAGGAUGAUUUUCACGAAGAGUUAAACCAAAAACAUUUGAGCGGGAAAAUUAUUUGAAAAGACUGUUUCAAAGGAAAACACUUUGGUUAUAACUUAUUUUAAACAGACUGUUUCAGAGGGCAAAGAUGUUUGGGCAGAACUUGUUUCAAAAGACAAAGAACACAGACUUGAGAUGUUUUAAAAGCAUGCAUAGUUAAACAGUGUACGGGAAGCGUUAUUUGGAAACAUUAUGGCUUAAAUGACUAACUAUUAUUAAUUAAGAGAAUAGAGCGAGUUUGACGGUUAAUCUUAUAAGCAUGAUGUCUAUGCUUUUGAUUUUAAAAGCUAUUAAGAAAUUGAUGAAUAAUCGAGUUUUUAACCCUACAACUUGCAUAUCGCGUAUGCAAGUCCUAUAGGCAGGAUUUCUAUAUGCGUUUGAUUACAAAAAAUAUGCUAGUCCUACAGGCAGGAUUUCUAUAUGCGUUUGAUUACAAAAAAUAUGCAAGUCCUACAGGCAGGAUUUCUAUAUGCAUUUGAUUACAAAAAAUAUGCAAGUCCUAUAGGCAGGAUUUUUUAUAUGCAUUUGAUUACAAAAAAUAUGCAAGUCCUAAAGGCAUGCUUUCUAAGUGUUUUAAGCAUAGAACCCUAUGAACAUGGUUUCUACCUUUUGACUUGUGCAGGAAUAAUAAAGCCCUUCCCACACCCUUUCACUAAUAUCCCCAAGUCUUUUUAGACAAUUAUUACAAAACUUGAAAGAACGGACUAAAGAAAAAUAAGAUAAAUACAUCAGAACUACAACAGGCCCGGGGAGUCUCAAAGCAGCCUUAAUUUCCAACCCAUGCAUUUUACCAAAUCCGGAGUCCAGAUUCCAAGGCCUUCUCAUACCCAGGGUGUUUUCAAAGUUCCAAGGAAUCUCAGGGACUCCCAGCAAUGCUUAACACCCUGAAUAACUUAAAGUAACAUAACAGUGCAGUGUGGAAGUACCAGCCCUAAGGCAUCCGAGAUCAGAGUGAGCUCAAGGGUCCCAAGGC
rnacentral:lncRNA from 1 species